GCAAAGGGCUCUCUCUCUCUCACACUCACCUAGAGACACGGAGCUUGAAGAAUGAGGAGAAGGAGAAGAAGAAGAUGUCAAAAAUUGAUGCAUCUGCGAUUAUUGGAAGAGCAAUAUCUUAUAAUUGGCUAUUAAAAGUGGUUCUACUAUUUGCUCCCUCCCUUCCUUUUCUCCUCUAUAUGAUGAAAUUUGGUAAACCUUAGUACUCUGUCUCUCUCUCUCUGUCUCUCUCUCUCUCUCUCUUGGCAAGAGCACAGAGAAGAAAUUUCAAGAAAAACAAAGGUGGUUGUCUUUAUUUGAAGGAUUCUCCCAUCUCAGCAAAUCAUUGGUUGUUUUAAGAGAAUGUCAAAUUUGACUUAUUUUUUAGCCCUUGUCCUCUGAUACACAUGGUGAGAAAGAAAAUUUUCGAGGCAUAUCUACCAAGAAAGCUAGAAGCAUUUUCAGGAACAAAGUUGUACAAGAAUUGAAGCGUAAUGCAGAUGAAGCUCAGGAGUUGCUUUAAUUGGAAAGAUCAGUUUAACUUGCAAGUUGACAAGUAGUAAUUAAAGAGUUCCAUACUGGGGAAGUCUGUCUUGGCUUGCCACCCACCCUCAAUAUGCAAACCCCACCCAGCUUUGGGGCCCUUCCUUGAUGCCACAAAUGGAAUAUCAUAAAGCUGCACACAAUAUUUCAAGUAAAUCUUAAAUCCGACAUGGCUCAUUUACAUGGCUAUUUAGGUUUUCAGUGCUUGUUAAUAUAGUGGCUAGUUGUUGUCUGUGCCUACUUUUGAAACUAUCUGUUGAGCUAAUCUUUUUCCAAUUAAUUUUAAAGUCCACUA